rnacentral:rRNA from 1 species
AAUAGAUACCCGGGUAGUCCAUGCCGUAAACGUUGGGCACUAGGUGUGGGGCUCAUUCCACGAGUUCCGUACCGCAGCAAACGCAUUAAGUGCCCCGCCUGGGGAGUACGGCCGCAAGGCUAAAACUCAAAGGAAUUGACGGGGGCCCGCACAAGCGGCGGAGCAUGCGGAUUAAUUCGAUGCAACGCGAAGAACCUUACCAAGGCUUGACAUGCACGGGAAGCCACCAGAGAUGGUGGUCUCUUUGGACACUCGUGCACAGGUGGUGCAUGGUUGUCGUCAGCUCGUGUCGUGAGAUGUUGGGUUAAGUCCCGCAACGAGCGCAACCCUGUCCCAUGUUGCCAGCGGGUUAUGCCGGGGACUCAUGGGAGACUGCCGGGGUCAACUCGGAGGAAGUGGGGAUGACGUCAAAUCAUCAUGCCCCUUAUGUCUUGGGCUUCACGCAUGCUACAAUGGCCGGUACAAAGGGCUGCGAUACCGUAAGGUGGAGCGAAAUCCCAAAAAAGCCGGUCUCAGUUCGGAUUGGGGUCUG